rnacentral:rRNA from 1 species
CGCUUAGCCGUAAAAUAUUAUUUACAUUAAAAACGCCAAAGCAACUACGAGCGCAAGCUUAAAACUUAAAGGACUUGACGGUGUCCCAUCUACCUAGAGGAGCCUGUUCUAUAAUCGAUAAUCCUCGUUAUAUCUCACCUUUUUUAGCUUAUCAGUCUGUAUACUNCCGUCGUAAGCUUACCAUAUGAAUGUAUUAGUAAGUUAAAUAGUAAUAACAAUUACCAAAACGUCAGGUCAAAGUGCAGCCAACAAAAAGGGAAGAAAUGGGCUACAAUUUCUACUUAAGAACAUACGAAUUUAAGUAACUGAAAACUACUAUGANGGCGGAUUUAGAAGUAAAAUGAAAAUAAAGUGUUCAUUUUAACAAUGCUCUGGGACGUGUACACACCGCCCGUCAUCCUCUUCAAUUCUAUUAAAAAUUUACAUAAAAAAUAAACCUGUAACACGAGGAGGCAAGUCGCAACACGGUAAGUAUACUGGAAAGUGUACUUGGACAU